GUCAGUUUUCUUCCAUUCAGCACAAAGAUCUGAGCACGAUGACAUCUGCAGCGUUUGUCUUCAUUCUGACGUGUUUGGUCCUGGGGUCGAAUGGUCGUACUUCCUUGACAUAUCUUGGGAACUCAUCUACGUCUGUUCACCAUGAGAUACGAGAAACUGGAGAGAAUUUGACUCUGAAGUGUGUCUUCAUAGAUGACCGUUCUCCAUGGGUUUAUUGGUACAAACAUACUCUUGGGGAGAACCUAAAGCUCAUCUCCUCCUUCCAAAACUCUGCAACUAAUAGGAGUUUCCAUGGAGAGUUUAGGAACAAUACACGCUUCACACUGGAGGGAAAAAAGGGUAAAAAUGACUUAAUGUCAGAUCUGCAACUAUCAGACUCAGCCAUUUAUCACUGCAUGAUUAGCAAUGACGGCAAUAUGCAGAUUUUAAAAACCACCAGAGUCAGUGUGAAGGGUGGAAACAGGAUCAAGCUGGACUCUGGAGAUGAGGUGAGCUCUGGUGUCUUGGUGUAUUCUCUGAGUGGAGCUUUGAUAUCUGCAGUUAUCCUGAUAGUUGUCCUGGCCUUCUUAUUGUACAAGAUGAACAAAAGAAUCUGCUUCUUAUCUCAAGGUUAACAGAGGAGUAGACGACGUCUGUUAUGCCGCUGUGAACGUUAACAUGCCCAACACAUCAAGAAGACAGAGAAACACAGCCAGAGAUGAAUGUGUGUAUUCCAGUGUGAGGCAGUAGAAGUCACCAUGGUUCAUCUUUUACUACGUCACUUUAAACUGA